GCUGAGAUUUCGUCACACACCAGACCACAAGGGCUGAUGAGACUUCCAGGAUAAGUGAAACG
rnacentral:pre_miRNA from 1 species